GACGAACGCUGGCGGCGUGCUUAACACAUGCAAGUCGAACGGAAAGGCCCUGCUUUUGUGGGUGCCUGGGGGGCGAACGGGGGAGUAACCCGUGGGUAACCCGGCCCUGACCUUGGGAUAACCUUAAGAAAACGGGGGCAAAUCCGGAAAGGGGGCUCCGGCGCCAGGUGGGGGGUGGAAAGGUUCGGCGGUUGGGGAUGGACUCGCGGCUUAUCAGCUUGUUGGUGGGGUAGUGGCUUACCAAGGCUUUGACGGGUAGCCGGCCUGAGAGGGUGACCGGCCACAUUGGGACUGAGAUACGGCCCAGACUCCUACGGGAGGCAGCAGUGGGGAAUAUUGCACAAUGGGCGGAAGCCUGAUGCAGCAACGCCGCGUGCGGGAUGACGGCCUUCGGGUUGUAAACCGCUUUCGCCUGUGACGAAGCGUGAGUGACGGUAAUGGGUAAAGAAGCACCGGCUAACUACGUG
rnacentral:rRNA from 1 species